rnacentral:lncRNA from 1 species
GCAGAGCUUUCCGCUCGUCCCAGCUGCACCUCGGUCCUGCAGGCCGUCCGCCUGGCGCAGCUGUAGCCAUAGCAACUCACGCAGGACCGCGCUUUACAGUUUACCAGGCACUCGGACGCCUUUGGCGCGAGCGCCCGUCGCUCCUUCCUCAGGUCACUGCGGUGCACCGUGCGGGUCCGCGUCGUGUCCUCCGCUCCGGAGCAGGGACCGGGCGUGCUCGUUCAGUCCUGUGCGCACUCGGAAUGGGGCCGGGGAAGGCUGAGCCUCAGGGCGACCCUGAUGUGGAGCCGUGCGACCGCUCACUGCGGUUGAAGAGACCCAGGCGCAGACAGCGCAGGCGGGGUAUGUAUUGGUUGGAGUAUGAUGGGGUCAGGACUUGAGUCUUUUACCCAGGCCCGGAGUUAACGGUAUUGAACCCCUUCUCAUUUUGUAGAGGCUAUGUGACCCGCGAGAUGGACCAGGUUAAAUGCAGAGGCAGAUACAAAAAACCAGCCAUCUUAAGCCAGACAUUUGCAAAGUAGCCAAGCAGCGCUUCUUAUCUUACUGAGUCCCUUCUUGCUAGGAGGAAAUUGUUAUUCAGAAGUUUGAGUUUUAGAUUUUUUUUGUUUUUUUUGAGACGGAGUCUCGCACUGUCGCCCGGGCUGGAAUGCAGUGGUGUGAUCUCAGCUCACUGCACCUUCCGCCUCCCGGGUUCAAGCAAUUUUCCUGCCUCAGCCUCCCAAGUAGCUGGGAUUACAGGCGCCCGCCACCACGCCCAGCUAAUUUUUGUAUUUUUAGUAGAGAUGGGGUUUCACCAUCUUGGCCAGGCUGGUCUCAAACUCCUGACCUCGUGAUCCGCCCGCCUUGGCCUCCCAAAGUGCUGAGAUUACCGGCGUGAGCCACCGUGCCCGGCCUUUUUUUGAUGUCAUUGUUGAGAUGGAGUCUGGCUGUGUCUCCAGGCUGGAGGGCAGUGGCGCGAUCUGGGCUCACUGCAACCUCCACCUCCCAGGUUCAAGCGAUUCUCCUGCCUCAGCCUCCCAAGUAGCUGGGACUACAGGUGUGUGCCACCAUGCCCAGCUAAUGUUUUUAUUUUUAGUAGAGACAGGGUUUCACCAUGUUGGCCAGGCUGGUCUCGAACUCCUAACCUCAAGUGAUCCACCCACCUCAGCCUCCCAAAGUUCUGGGAUUAGAGGUGUGAGCCACUGUGCCCGGCCGGUUUUUAAUUUUUAUAAAGACCAGGUCUUUGCUCUGUUGCCCAGGCUGGAGUGCAGUGGCAUGACCAUAGCUUACUGCAGCCUUGAACUCCUGAGGUCGAGCAAUCUUCUAGCCUCAACUUCCUGAGUAGCUAGGACUACAGGCAUGCAACACCAUGCCCGGCUAAGACAUCCUACUUUAAAAUAUGUCAAACUUCACAGCACAGUUCUUUUUUUAAAAUACAGAUUUAAUGAGAUAAUUUACAUGUCAUACAAUUCAAACAUUGUAAGUACACAUUUGGAUGACCUUUAAUUUAUACUGUUGUGUAGCCAUCACCAUAAUCCACUUAUAGAAAACUUCCAUCACCCCAAAACGUUCCCUUGGGCCUAUUUGUAGUCAGUCUCUGCUCUCACCCCCAGCCAACCUCUGAUCUACUUUGCAUGGUUUUUGCCUUUUCCAGAAAUUUCAUAGAAAUGGAAUAAUAGCAUAUAAUUUUUUUGGUCUGGCUUCUUUCACUUAGCAUCACGUUUCUGAGGCUCAUCUGUGUUGUAGGUAUGAGUGGUUUGUUCCUUUUCAUUGCUGAGUGGUAUUCCAUUAAUGCAAUUGUGUCAUCAUUUGCUUAUCCAUUUAUCUGUUGAUAGACAUUUGGAUUGUUUCUAGUUUGGGAAAUAAAUAAUUCUGUUUUGAACUCAUGUACAAAUUGUUGUUUUCAUUUCUUUUGUGUGUGUGUGUGUGAGAUGGAGUCUCACUCUGUAGCCCAAGCUAGAGUGCAGUGGCACGAUCUCGGCUUACUGAAACCUUUGCCUCUGGGGCUCAAGUGAUUCUCCUGCCUCAGCCUCCCAAGUAGCUGGGACUAGAGGUGUGCCCCACCACACCCGGUUAAUUUUUUUGUAUUUUUAGUGGAGACGGGGUUUUACCAUGUUGCCCUGGGUGGUCUGGAGAGCUACCACCUUAGCCUCCCAAAGUGCUGGCAUUACAGGUGUGAGCCACCACACCCAGCCUGUUGUUUUCAUUUCUUUUAGACAUAUACUUAGGAGUGGAUUGCUGGGUUUUAAGGUAAGUGUAACUUUUUAAGAAACUGCUGGCCAGGUGUGGUGGCUCACACCUGUAAUCCUAGCACUUUGUGGGGCCAAGACAGGUGGAUCACUUGAGCCCAGGAGUUGAAGUCCAGCCUGGGCAACAUGGUAUAACCCUGUGUCUACUAAAAAUACAAAAAUUAACCCGUCGUGGUGGCACAUGCCUGUAAUCCCAGCUACUCAGGAGGCUGAGGCAGGAGAAUUGCUUGAACCCGGGAGGUGGAGGGCUCUACUAAAAAUAGAAAAACUGAGGUGGGAGGAUCACCUGAACCUGGGGAGGUCAAGGCUGCAGGGAGCCAUAAUUGUGCCUGCACUCCAGGUCUCGCCCUGUCGCCCAGGCUGGAGUGCAGUGGCGUGAUCUCGGCUCACUGCAACCUCUGCCUCCUGGGUUCAAGAAAUUGUCCUGCCUCAGCCUCCCAAGUAGCCAGGACUACAGGUGCACGCCACCACGCCCAGCUAAUUUUUUGUAUUUUAGUAGAGACAGGGUUUCACUGCAUUGUCCAGGCUGGUCUUGAAUCCCUGAGCUCAGGGAAUCUCCCCCCUCAGCUUCUCAAAGUGCUAGGAUUACAGGCAUGGGCCACCACACCCGGCCGAUAUAAAACUUUUAACAAAACCCCAGACUUUAUUCCAAUGACAAUUUUUCUGCUGGGCAUGGCGGUUCACGCCUGUAAUCCCAGCAUUUUGGGAGGCUGAGGUGGGAGAAUCACUUGAGCCCAGGAGUUGGAGACCAGCCUGAGCAACAUAGUGAGACCCCCAUCUCUACUUAAAAAAACAAAAAUUAAAAAUAAGACUAGCCAGGUGUGGUGGUGCAUGCCUGUAGUCCCAGCUACUCGAGAGGGUUAGGUGGAAAGACUGCUUGAGGCUGGGACAUUGAGGCUGCAAUGAGUCAUGAUGGUACCACUGCACUCCAGCCUGAGUGACAGAGCCAAAACCCUGUCUCAAAAAAAAAAAAGAAAAAAAAAAAAGGCCAAGCACGGUGGUCCACACCUGCACUUAUAGUCCCAGCACUUUGGAAGGCCGAGGCAGGAGUAUCACUUGAGCCCAGGGUUGGAGAACAGCCUGGGCAACAUGGCGGAAACCCAUCUCUACCAAAAAAAAAAAAUUCAAAAAUUAUGGCCGGGCACAGUGGCCCAUGGCUGUAAUCCCAGCAUUUUAGGAGGCCAAGGCAGGCAGAUCACUUGAGCCUAGGAGUUCAAGACCAGUCUGGCCAAACUGGCAAAACCCCAUCUCUACUAAAAAUCCCAGCUACUCAGGAGGCUGAGGCAGGAGAAUUGCUUGAACCUGGGAGGUGCCACUGCACUCCAGCCUGGGCAAUAGGGUGAGACUCAGUCUCAAAAAAAAAAAAGUGUCAUUUACAAUAACAUCAAAAGAAUAAAAUAUUUGGAAUAAGAUAUUGAAUUUAAUAAAAUAAGUCCAAAGCCUAUACACUCAAAACCACAAAACAUUGCUGAAGCAAAUUACAGAUCUAAAUAAGACAUUGUAACAUGUUAACGGAUUUGCAAGACUCAAUAUCACACUGGCAUGAUCUCGGCUCACUACAGGCUCCACCUCCCAGGUUUAAGCGAUUCUCCUGCCUAAGGCUCCUGAGUAGCUGGGAUUACAGGCAAGUGCCACCACAUCCAGCUAAUUUUUUUUUUUUUUUUUUUUUUUUUAGUAGAGACAGCAUUUCAUUAUGUUGGCUAGGCUGGUCUCGAACUCCUCACCUCAAGUGAUCUGCCUGCCUCGGCCUCCCAAAGUGCGGGGAUUACAGGCGUUGAGCCACUGUACUGGGCCUAUCAUGGAUUUUCAAUUGUAUAUUUUUCCUUUCAAUUCUGUUUUUGAGACUAAUGUUAGCAGUGUAUAUAUUUAUAAUGGCUAAAUCUUCAUAAUGUAUUGAUAUAGCCAUUAUCAUCAUAAAAUGUUCCUUUAUGUUUCUAAUAUUAAUACUACUAUUAAAGUCUAUGCUGAGUUAAAUGUAUGCAGGAAGAACUUGGGGAAAAAGGCCAUGUUGACUGUUGUUCAUAUAGCUAUUCCUGCUCUCUUGUGAUUCUUGAUUGCAUGGUAUAUCUUUUCACUUUCACUCUAUUAUUUGUGUCUUUGAAUCUAAAGGAUCUCUUGUAGAUAGCAUAUAGUUGAAUCUUGCUUUUUUAUACAGUUUUACAGUCUGUGCCCUUUGGAAUAUUUAGUCCAUUCAUGUUUAAUGUAAUUGUUGAUAUGGUUGAAUAUAUGGAUGACAUUUUAAUACUUGUUUUCUAUAUUUCUCAUCUUUGUUGUCCCUUUGUUUCUCUUUAAUUCUUUUUUGAGAUGGAGUCUCACUCUGUCGCCCAGGCUGGAGUGCAGUGGCACCAUCUCAGUUCACUGCAACCUCCACCUCACGGGUUAAAGCAAUUCUCCUGUUUUAAGCCUGCCAAGUAGCUGGGAUUACAGGCAUGCCACCAUGACUGGCUAAUUUUUGCAUUUUUAGUAGAGACAGGGUUUCACCAUGUUGGCCAGGCUGGUCUUGAGCUCCUGACCUCAGGUGAUCUGCCUGCCUCGGCCUCCCCAAGUGCUGGAAUUACUGGCGUGAGCCACCACGCCUGGCUUCUUUAACUCCUUUUUCUGUGUUACAUUUGUGUAUGUGUAUGUAUGUAUUAUCCUGAUCCCAAAGUUGAAGGGUUUUUUCCUUUUAGUUAUAUGUUUGAGUUACUUUCUGUGUGGUUGUCUAGGGAUUGCAGUAUGUAGCUUUAACUUAUUACAGUAUAUUUCAGCUCAAUACUGAAAAUUCUGGUAAAAUACAGUAACUUUACUACCCUUCCCUUGCUCUUCCUUUGUGUUAUAUAUAUAUCUUUAUAUGUUAUAAACCCAGCAAUGUGUUAUAACUGGUUUAAACAACCUUGUUUUUUAAAAAAUUAAAAAAGAGAGAAAAAUAUAAAGUAUAAAAGAGAAAUAUAGGGAGGCCGAGGUGGGCAGAUCACGAGGUCAGGAGAUCGAGACCAUCCCGGCUAACUUGGUGAAACCCCGACUCUACUAAAAAUACAAAAAAUUAGCUGGGUGUGGUGGCGUGCACCUGUAGUCCCAGCUACUCAGGAGGCUGAGGAAGGAGAAUUGCUUGAACCCGGGAGGCGGAGGCUUCAGUGAGCCGGGAUUGUGCCACUGCACUCCAGUCUGAGCAACAGACCAAGACACUGUCUCAAAAAAAAAAAAAAAAAAAGAGAAAUAUAUAGUGUUUUACAUUUAGCUGCCUUCAUCAUUCUAGUGCUCCAUGCCUUCUGGUGAAUUCAAGAUAUUGUUCUAGUGUCCUUUUCUUUUAGGCUGAAGGACUUCCUUUAGUACUUCUUUUUUUUUUUUUUUUGGAGACAGAAUUUUGCUCUUGUCAACCAUGCUGGAGUGCAGUGGCUCAAUCUCGGCUCACCACAACCUCUGCCUCCCAGGUUCAAGCGAUUCUUCUGCCACAGCCUCCCAAGUAGCUGGGAUUACAGGCAUGUGCCAUCAUGCCUGGCUAAUUUUGUAUUUUUAGUAGAGAUGGGGUUUCUCCAUGUUGGUCAGGCUGGUCUCGAACUUCCGACCUCAGGUGAUCUGCCUGCCUUGGCCUCAGAAAGUGCUGAGAUUACAGGAGUGAGCCACCACACCCGGCCCCUUUAGUACCUCUUUUAGGAGAGGUCUGCUAGCAAUAAUUCUCUUAUUCUCCCUUUUUAAAAAUCUCAGAAUGUCUUUAUUUCACCUUUUUCUUGGGACAGGGUCUUGGUCUGUCACCCAGUCUGGAGUGCUGUGGUUUGAACAUAGCUUACUGUACCCCCAACCUCCUGGGCUCAAGCAGUUCUCCCACUUCAGCCUCCCAAGUAGCUAGGACCGCAGGUGGGUGCCACCAUGUCUGGCUAAUUUUUAAAAUUUUUCUGUAGAGGCUGGUCUGGUCCUCCUGGGCGCAAGCAAUCCUGCUUCAGACUCCCACAGUGCUGGGAGUACAGGUGUGAGCCACCGCACCCGGCCUCACCUUCACUUUUGAAGGCUAGUUUUGCUGUAUAUAAAAUUAUUGGGUGAUUGUUUUUUCCUUUCAGCACUUUGAAUAUCCAUUGCAGUGGCUUUAGCCUUUACUGUUUCUGAUGAGCAGUUAAGCAUUUUUUUUUUUUUUUUUUUUUUUUCAGAGACAGGGUGUUGCUCUGUUGCCCAGGCUGGGGUGCAGUGGCACAAUCACAGUUCACGGCAACCUUGACCUCCUGGGCUCAAGCAAUCCCACCUCAGCCCCCAAAAUGAGUGGGACUACAGGUUCACGCCACCAUGCCUGGCUAAUUUUUGUAUUUUUAAUAGAGAUGGAGUUUCACCAUGUUGGCCAUGGCUGGUCUCAAACUCCUGAUCUCAAGUGAUCUGCCCACCUUGGCCUCCCAAAGUGCUAGGAUUACAGGUGUGAGCCACCACACCCAGCCCAGAUUUUUGUUUCUUUUCUUUUUCCUUUUUUUUUUUGACACAGGGACUCGCUCUGUUGUCCAGCCUGAAGUGCAGUGGCUCACUGCAGUCUUGAACUCCUGGGCUCAAGCAAUCCUCCCAUCUCAGCCUCCCAAGUUGUUGGGACUACAGGUGCACACCACCGUGUCUGGCCUUUUUUUUUUUUUUUUUUUUUUUUAAGAGACAAGACGAGAUCUCUCUCUGUUGCCCAGGCUGGUCUCAAACUCCUGGACUUAAAUAAUCCUCCCACCUUGGCGUCCCAAAGUGCUAGGAUUACAGGUUGAGCUACUGCACCCAGAUUUUUUUUAUUCUUUAGGUUUUAGCUUGACUUCCUGAUGGUUGCCUUGUGUCUCCAUAACUUAGUGGCCAAAGAUCUGGGAAGAGGUUGUGCUCAAACACCUUGGCUGUGCUCAGAUAUUUAGGCCUAUCUGGGUGGGUUGGCGGUGCAUUCAGGGAUCACCUACUUCUUAAAUCUCCCUUGGCUUUUUUUUUUUUUUUUUUUUGAGACAGAAUUUUGCUCUUGCUCCCCAGGCUGGAGUGCAGUGGUGGGAUCUUGGCUCACUGCAACCUCUGCCUCCUGGGUUCAAGCGAUUCUCCUACCUCAGCCUCCCAAGUAGCUGGGAUUACAGGCACCUGCUACCAUGCCUGGCUAAUUCUUUGUAUUUUUAGUAGAGACGGGGUUUCACCAUGUUGGCCAGGCUGGUCUUGAACUCCUGACCUCAGGUGAUCCACCCGCCUCUGCCUCCCAGAGUGCUGGGAUUACAGCGUGAGCCCACCACAACCAGCCUCCCUUGACUUUUAACAUUUUUCUUUUUCUUUUUUUUUUUUUUGAGAUGGAGUUUCACUCUGUCACCCAGGCUGGAGUGCAAUGAUGCAAUCUCAGCUCACUGCAACCUCCGCCUCCUGGGUUCAAGCGAUUCUCCUGCCUCAUCCUCCCAAGUAGCUGGGAUUACAGGCAUGCACCACCACGCCUGGCUAAUUUUUGUAUUUUCAGUAGAGACGGGGUUUUGCUGUGUUAGCCAGGCUAGUCUUGAACUCCUGACCUCAGGUGAUCUGCCUACCUUGGCCUCCCAAAGUGCUGGGAUUACAGGUGUGAGCCAUGGUGCCCAGCUCUCCCUUGGCUUUUAAUUUCUAUGGGCUUUCUGAAGUCUCAUCUGUGUACGUGUCUGGUUUUCCAGCCAGCGAGUGAUGUGCUGAGGUCCUGUCUAAUCCUUUUGUGGCAUUCUCAUUUCCAGAGUCUCCUAGAUUUCUAGCUAGUCUGCUACUUGAGAUCUCAGGCUAGUAAGCUGUGGGUUUCUUUCUCAAGAAACGGCUUUCUCAAGCCGUUUAUUUCUCAAGAACUUUGCCACUUUUAGCUGAUAAAAAAGUACACUUCUUGAGGCCGGGUGCGGUGGCUCACGCCUGUAAUCCCAGCACUUUGGGAGGCUGAGGAGGGCGGAUCACAAGGUCAGGAGUUUGAGACCAGCCUGACCAAAAUGGUGAAACCCCGUCUCUACUAAAAAUUGAAAAAUUAGCCAGGUAUGGUGGCAGGCGCCUGUAGUCCCAGCUACUCGGGAGGCUGAGGCAGGAGAAUGGCGUGAACCCGGGAAGCGGAGCUUGCAGUGAGCUGAGAUCGCGCCACUGCACUCCAUCCUGGGCGACAGAGUGAGACUCCAUUUAAAAAAAAAAAAAAAAAAAAAAAGGUACACUUCUCGGCCCGGGUCAGUGGCUCACACCUGUAAACCCAGCACUUUGGGAGGCCGAUUUAGGAGGCCGAGGUGGAGGAUCACCUGAGGUCGGGAGUUUGAGACCAGCCUGACCAACAAGGAGAAACCCCAUCUCUACUAAAAAUAAAAAAUUAGCCGCAGUGGUGCAUGCCUGUAAUCCCAGCUACUGGGGAGGCUGAGGCAAAAGAAUUGCUUGAACCUGGGAGGCAGAUGUUGCAGUGAGCCGAGAUCGUGCCACUGCACUCCAGCCUGGGCAACAAGAGCAAAACUCCGUCUCAAAAAAAAAAAAGUUCUAGCACUUUUUUUUUCUUUAUCUUUUUCUUUUCUUUUGAUACUAAGUUUCGCUCUUGUUGCCCAGUCUGGAGGGCAGUGGUGCUAUCUUGGCUCACCGCAACCUCCGCCUCCCAGGUUCAAGCGAUUCUCCUGUCUCAGCCUCCCAAGUUGCUGGGAUUACAGGCAUGAGCCACCAUGCCUGGCUAAUUUUUUUGUAUUUUUCGUAGAGACAUGGGUUUCACCAGGUUGGUCAGGCUGGUCUCGAACUCCUGACCUCAGGUGAUCCACCUGCCUAGGCGUCCCAAAGUGCAGGGAUUACAGGCGUGAGCCACUCUUUUUCUUUUUAUUAUUCAUUAUUAUUUUUUGUAGAGACAGGGUCUUGCUUGGUUGCAUAGGCUGGCCUUGAACUCCUGGCCUCCAGCCAACUUCCCACCUUUGCUUCCCAAAGUGUUGGGAGAUUACAGGUGCAAGCUACCGUGCCCAGCCAGUUUUUUCUCAAGAAUAAAUGCUUCUUAAUUUGCCUGCCUUUGGUUGAUGUCCAGAACCUUGAAAUGUUUUUGGUAUAUAUUUUUUCCAAUUUUAUGCUUUUUUAUUUUUGUAGAGUGCAUUCCCUAUUCUCUUCACGCUGCAGCAGCCAGCAGUCCCUCCACAGCACUGUCCUUGUCCUUUUGUCUGUGGUUAAGGCCUUCCUCCAGAGUCCGCCAGAAAGUAGUCAGGGUCUGUGGGCUUUUACUGAAGGCCCUGACCACAGGGCAUGCUGCAAUAAUAGAUCCUGUGCUGGGUGCUGCCUCUGCUGGCAUUUCUCUUUCACAGGCUGGAUUUGGGACCUCAGCCUUACAGGAAAUAAGGAGACUGAGGAUCAGAAAAUGUGGAGAGAAGCCUCAAUAGAAAGGACACACAGGCUCACACCUGUAACUCCAGCACUUUGUGAGGCCGAGGCGGGUGGAUCACCUGAGGUCAAGAGUUUGAGACCACCAACAUGGCAAAACCCCGUCUCUACUAAAAAUACAAAAAAUUAGCCAGGCGUGUUGGUGGGCGCCUGUAAUCCCAGCUACUCGGGAGGCUGAGGCAGGAGAAUCACUUGAACCCAGGAGGCAGAGGUUGCAGUGAGCCGAGAUCACGCAACUACACUCCAGCCUGGACCACAAGAGUGAAACUCGUCUCAAAAAAAACCCCCCCAAAAUUAGCUGGGCGUGGUGGUGCAUCCUGUAGUCCCAGCUACUUAGGAGGCUGAGGCCUAAGAAUUGCUUGAACCCAGUGGUAAGGGUGGGGGACAGAGGUUGCAGUGAGCCAAGAUCAUGCCAUUGCACUCCAGCCUGGGCAACAGAAUGAUGCUCUGUCUCAAAAAAAGGACAAAAGGACUGAGAGCCUCCUCAAACUCCUGCCUUGCUCCAGAGGCUCACAGCAGUCCUCAGGCUGCUUGACGACAGGGAUGCCACUGCCUGCCUGUCCUGCUUCCUUCCCAGGGUGGGCACAGCAAAAUGAGCUAAUGUCCAUGAAAGUUCCUUUUAAACUUAAGACUGCUCCACAAUUUUCAUAUUUAUUAAUAUUCUCUAACGUGACAAACUCAGCUCAGGGAAGUUGAACUUCCCAGCUAGUUAGUGGCGGAGGUGAACUUUAACCCAAGUCUACUUACUAGGGCCAAGCCCAGCAUUCUUUCCCAAUAGGGUUAGCAGGACAUAAUCAUGUAUACUCACAGUGACUGUGUUCCCAAUGAACCUGGGUAUGUCUGCAUUUUAGAGAUGUUUCAUUGACUUUCAACGGAAAGCUGGAUUUUGGAGAACAAACAGUACUUGCAGAAAUUUCACAAGUAGAACUUCACACAAUGGCUCCCUUAAAAGAACCUUGGUGACAGGCAUCCUUUUCAACUUUGUUGCAGCUGCUUCCUCUUUCUAUGGGGCUCAGUUACAAGGAAAGCCUACCAUCAGACUUUCUUGCAGGAACAAAUUGAUUGCUUUAGUCUGAGAUUUAGCAAGGGAGAAAUUAUGCUGAGUCAAUGUGAAUAAUUUAACCAAGUUACUACUGAAGAGAUUUUAUGCAAACAUAUUGCAUAAAAUCAAUAUGUAUCUAAUCAUAUAGUCAUGUUUUCCCUUCUAAUAAUGUUACAUGCUACACAAACUUUCCAUUUCCAUGUUAAGGUUCUAAUCAGCAGUAAAAAAUACUGCUUCUCAGAAUUGCUGGAAAACUACAGUAAGCUGGCUUGGGAGAGCAGGACUGGAACAAAGGCAAGUCUCCCCCUGGGGAUGAACAGAAUCAAGCCAGGGCGCGCUAGAGCUGUGUCAGGCUGACUUAGCUUUUUAGUUGUUAGAAACUCAAGUGCUUGGCUUAAAAUGCUUAAGAAAGUCAACCCACAUUAUUAUCCACCAGAAAAACUUUCUGGCUUGCCCUAACUCCCCAAAUCCCAAAUCAAAGCAUGAGCACAAGUUCUACAAGAACAGCCCUCUAUGCAAACCUCCCAGGGUGGAAUCCUAGUUUGAUUUACGUAAGAGGGUGUGUAAAGCAACAUACCAGUAAGGGCAGAUUUGAAAAUCCCAGCUCUGACACUCACUCAACUAAAUAAUUCUCGUAGCUGAACUCAAACUGAACUCAAAUGACCUGAAUAUAUUUUAGGUGGAAAGAGUACUUUUUUUUUUUUUGAGACGUGGUCUUGCCCUGUUGCCUGGGCUAGGCUGGAACUCCUGGGCUCAGAGGAGCUUGCAUGAAAUGAUGCCUUUCAUUUACAGGCACAUGCCACUAUGCCCAGCUCCUUUUUUUUUUUUUUUUUUUUUUUGAGACAGGGUCUUGCUUUGUUACCCAGGCGCCAGUGGCACCAUCAUAGCUCACUGCAGUCUCAAACUCCUGGGCUCAAGGGAUCCUCCCAUCUCAGCUUCCUGAGUAGCUGAGGCUACAGGUGUGUACCACCAUGCCCAGUUAAUUGUUUUUAUUUUUUGUAGAAAUGGGGGCUCACUAAGUUGCCCAGGCUGGUUUUGAGCUCUGGCUUCAAGUGAUCCUCCUGCCACGGCCUCUCAAAGUGCUGGGAUUACAGGUGUAAGCCACCAUGCCUGCUCCCCCCGCCUUUUUUUUUUUUUUUUUUUUUUUUUAAAGAAACAGGUUCUUGCUUUGUUGCCCAUGCUGGCCUUGAACUGCUGGACUCAAGCAAUCAUUCCACGUUAGCUUCCAGAGUAGCAGAAGGAGCAAUUCUGAAAAAGCCCAGAGGCUAUAUAUUCUCACCCCAGAGGAGUAUGCUUGUGAUGUGCUCAGAAUAGCUAAAAUGGUCUGUGCAGGGACAAGAGUUCCUAAGGGAAAGUGGAAUAUCUCCCCAUCCAACCGCAAGUGGAAUAACAAGAAGAACCAGAUAGAAAAGCAGCGCACGAGCCCGGGCCAGGCGCAGUGGCCCACACCUGUAAUCCCACCAGACAUUAACUUAAGACUGAAGAGUCCUAGCAAUCCAGAGACUUGCAGUGUUCCUAUCACUGAGCUGUCGGCAGCACUGUGGAUAUAAGCCAGGGUGCUCAGUUGGAUCUAGGACCUACCUCUCUGCUGUGCACUGGCCCCCAGUCCCUCAGGCCCACUCCACAACUCUCUCCACCUCACUGUCUUCCCCACUGCCAGGUUUUCCCUCCCAGUUCAUUUUUUCCAAUUAGUACAUGCACAAGCUAUGCUAUUUCCCUUCUUUAAAACAAAAGCCUCUCCUUUACCCCAUAUCCCCUUCCAGUUACUCCAUUUGUCUUUUCCCUUUUACAGAAAAAUCUAUGAAAGAAUUGUUUGUACUGUUUCACCCUCCUCUCCUCCCACUUUCCCUAGAACCUACUCCAAUUAGGCACCACUCAAACAAAUGCUCCCCUCACCAAUGACCUUGCUAGUGUAGAAGCACUCCUGAUGCCUCCCUCCAUGAGAAGUGAGCCCCAUUACUAGAAUGUUCCUGUGAGUCUGGAAGGAGCGGUUAGGCAUAGACUGCCUGGCCACUUCCUCCCUCUCUCUCAGAACCUCGGCUGCCUUCAGGGGACAUAUGCGCUGCGUUCCUCUUAACUUCUGCUACUCAAAGAGUGAUCCCCACAAUGGCAAUACUGACAUCACUUGGAAGCUUAUUAGAAAAGCAGAAUCUCAGGCUCCACCCAAGCCCUACUCAAUCAGAACCUGCAUUUUAGUACGAUCCCCAGGGGAUUCUGGUGCACAAUAAAGUUCAAGAAGCACUGCUCUAAACCGCCUCAUUCUGAGGUUCAGCCUUACAAAAUAAAUCCAGGCCGGGCGCGGUGGCUCACGCCUGUAAUUCCAGCACUUUGGGAGGCUGAGGCGGGCAGACCAUGAGGUCAGGAGAUCGAGACCAUCCUGGCUAACAUGGUGAAGCCCCGUCUCUACUAAAAAUACAAAAAAAAAAAUUAGCCGGGCGCGGUGGCGGGUGCCUGUAGUCCCAGCUACUGGGGAGGCUGAGGCAGGAGAAUGGUGUGAAUCUGGGAGGCGGAGCUUGCAGUGAGCCAAGAUGACACCACUGCACUCCAGCCUGGGCGACAGAGCGAGAUGCCAUCACAAAAAAAAAAGAAAAGAAAAGAAAUCCAGUGUUCCCAGAUGUAACCACAUUUUCUAACAGCAGUUUUAUCAGUAAUAAGGGUGGUAUUUUGGUCUCCCAUCUCCCAUCGUCUUAUUUUUUGUUUCUUAAUUGGUUCUGAAAUUGGGAAAAAUUAGGGUAUCCCCUGGCUCCCUCGGACUUCUUACACCUUUCAGUUAACAAAACCUGUGGUCCCUGCUCAGUCCUUCCUGUAACCUAUUGGCUGCCCUGGACAAAGCAACCACUUCCUCAGUCUUCCACACUCUCCCUCCACGGCCACUGCUUGUCCUCCUGGCUGGACUCCUCUCUCUUCCUGACCUCCAUGUGUUGGAGCGCACCAAGCUCCAAGAUCAGUCCUUGGUUCCUGUCAGCCACACACACGCUCCAGGUCUCCUUCCCUGCCUGAGGCUCGAUCUGCUAUCUUCAUGCCGCCAACUCCCAAAUGUGUGUCUCCAGCUCCAACCACUCCCCUUGAAUCCCGCUAGUCCAGCCAACUGUUUUGUUGACUAUACACUUAGGUGCAUGUGUUGGCAUCUGAAAGUGAACAUGACUCAAAUCAAAUUAUUAUUAUUAUUUUGAGACAGUUUCGCUCUCUGUUGCUCAGGCUGGAGUGCAGUGGCGUGAUCUCAGAUCACUGCAACCUCUGCCUCCUGGGUCCAAGCGGUUCUCCUGUCUCAGCCUCCCAAAUAGCUGGGAUUACAGGCGCCUGCCACCACGCCCCGCUAAUUUUUGUAUUUUUAGUAGAGACGGGGUUUCACCAUGUUGGCCAGGCUGGCCUCAAACUCCUGACCUCAGGUGAUCUGCCCGCCUCGGCCUCCCAAAGUGCUAUUUUCUUAACAGUCAGGGUCUCAACUCUGUUGACCAGGCUGGAGUGCAGUGGCAAGAUCACAGCUCACUGCAGCUUCCAACUCCUGGGCUCAAGCGAUCCUUCUGCCUUAGUCUCCUGGGUAUCUGGCACUACUGGCGUGCACCAUCAUGCCCAGCUAAUUUUUAAUUGUUUGUAGAGAUGGGGUCUCACUACAUUGCCCAGGCUGGUCGGUCUCGAAGUCUUGGGCUCCAGUGAUCCUCCCACCUUGGCUUCCCAAAGUGCUGGGAUUACAGGCAUGACCAUUCUCAGCUUUUGUUCUACCAAUUGUCUUCACCUUAGAAAACUGCAAUGCUGUUCUUUUACUCAGGCACUUACCCUUUUAGUUACUUUUCUCCUUUCUCUCCAACAACUCUGCAUGAAGUCUCUCAGAAAACUGUUCUAACUUCAAAAUGUACCUUGAAUCUGCCCAUUUCGUCCCACCUAUACUCUACUACCUUAGUCUGAGCCACCGUCUCCUCCCCUGGAAUACUGGGGUAACAAUCUUAUUUUGCCCCUUUUUUCCACUUGUCCCUGCCUGAGUACAAAGACUGUUUUCCAGAAUGGUCUUUUAAAAAUGUAAAUAAGCCCCUGUGACUCCUCUGCUCCAAAGCCUUCAAUGGCUUCCCAUUCACUCUAAUGAAAUUCCAAGUCCUCACCUAAGCCCUAAAUAUCCUGGUCCCUGGCUACUUUCUGAUGUCUUCUAUUGCGCUCCCAGUCCCUGACUCUGUACCAGCGACCUUGCUAUUUCUGGAACCUACUGAGGACACUGCUGCCUCAAGGGCUUCAUUUCUCUACUUGGAGACCUCUUUGCCCAGGGGUUUGCAUGGCUUACCCUAUCCUUUCAUUCUAGAGUCUGCUCAAAUGUGAUCUCCGAAGAGAGGCCUUCCCUGACUAUGCCAUCUAAACAUCCCUCGUUCCCAUCCCUCUUUCAUCCUUUUAUUUAGCUGCUUUCCUCCAAAAUACUUAGGACCGAUGUUGUAAAUUUGUUUAAACAUUGUCUUCCCCACUGGAAUGGGAGGGCACAAGUGCAUGGGCUUGCUUUGUUGGCUGCUGAAUUACUGCACCCAGCAGCACACCAGGCACAGGGUGGGUACUCAAAUAUUGGUUGGAACAAAUCAUUGCUUUUAACCUGAGGGCUGCUCCUCCCUCCCUUCUUCUGUUUCUCCCCAAACACCCAGGACAGUGGCCCCUGCUCAUGCUCUGCUCGUGAUGAGGGCUUGUUAAAUUAAAUUGACAUGUUCAACUUUUCAAAUCCCCAUUUACCCUUCCCCACCCAAAAAAACCCAACAUGGCCAGGCACGGUGGCUCACGCCUGUAAUCCCAGCACUUUGGGAGGCCGAGGUGGGCGGAUCACCUGAGGUCAGGAGUUUGAGACCAGUCUGGCCAAUGUGCUGAAACCCCGUCUCUACUAAAAAUAUUUUUAAAAAUUAGCCAGGUGUGGUGGCGGGCACCUGUAAUUGCAACUACCUGGGAGGCUGAGGAAAGAGAAUUGUUUGAACUGGGGAGGCAGAGGUUGCAGUGAGCUGAGAUGGUGCCAUUGCACACCAGCAUGGGUGACAAGAGUCAAACUCCAUCUCAAAAAAAUAAUUAUAGGUUGGGCACGGUGGCUCAAGCCUGUAAUCCUAGCACUUUGGGAGGCUGAGGCGGGUGGAUCACAAGGUCAGGAGCUUGAGACCAGCCUGGCCAACACAGUGAAACCCCUCUCUACUAAAAAUAAAAUCAGCCAGGCGUGAUGGAUGCCUGUAAUCCCAGCUACUUGGGAGGCUGAGGCAGGGAGAAUCGCUUGAACCCGGGAGGUGGAAAGUUGCAGUGAGCCGAGAUCAUGCCACUGUACUCCAGCCUGGACGACAGAGUGAGACUCCAUCUCAAAAUA